UACGUAGGGUGCAAGCGUUGUCCGGAAUUAUUGGGCGUAAAGAGCUCGUAGGCGGUUUGUUGCGUCGGCUGUGAAAUCCCGAGGCUCAACCUCGGGUCUGCAGUCGAUACGAGCAAACUAGAGUGUUGCAGGGGAGACUGGAAUUCCUGGUGUAGCGGUGAAAUGCGCAGAUAUCAGGAGGAACACCGGUGGCGAAGGCGGGUCUCUGGACAUUUCCUAACGCUGAGGCACGAAAGCCAGGGGAGCAAACGGG
rnacentral:rRNA from 1 species